rnacentral:tRNA from 1 species
GCUUAAAUAGUUUAGUAAAAUAUUAAUUUGUGGGGUUAAAGACAGAAUUUCUUUUAGGCA